GGGCAGGUUCCCGAGUGGCCAAAGGGAGCAGACUGUAAAUCUGCCGUCACAGACUUCGAUGGUUCGAAUCCAUCCCUGCCCACCA
rnacentral:tRNA from 1 species